UACGUAGGGUGCAAGCGUUAAUCGGAAUUACUGGGCGUAAAGCGUGCGCAGGCGGUUUUGUAAGUCAGAUGUGAAAUCCCCGGGCUUAACCUGGGAACUGCGUUUGAAACUACAAGGCUAGAGUGUGGCAGAGGGGGGUGGAAUUCCACGUGUAGCAGUGAAAUGCGUAGAUAUGCGGAGGAACACCGAUGGCGAAGGCAAUCCCCUGGGCCUGCACUGACGCUCAUGCACGAAAGCGUGGGGAGCAAACAGG
rnacentral:rRNA from 1 species